rnacentral:snRNA from 1 species
AUGUAUAUGUAGAUGGUCGAGAGA